GCUGGCGGCGGCUUACACAUGCAAGUCGAGCGGUAACAUUUCUAGCUUGCUAGAAGAUGACGAGCGGCGGACGGGUGAGUAACGCGUAGGAAUCUGCCUAGUAGUGGGGGACAACAUGUGGAAACGCAUGCUAAUACCGCAUACGCCCUACGGGGGAAAGGAGGGGAUCUUCGGACCUUUCGCUAUUAGAUGAGCCUGCGUGAGAUUAGCUAGUUGGUGGGGUAAAGGCCUACCAAGGCGACGAUCUCUAGCUGGUCUGAGAGGAUGAUCAGCCACACUGGGACUGAGACACGGCCCAGACUCCUACGGGAGGCAGCAGUGGGGAAUAUUGGACAAUGGGCGCAAGCCUGAUCCAGCCAUGCCGCGUGUGUGAAGAAGGCCUUAGGGUUGUAAAGCACUUUCAGGAGUGAGGAAGAGCGUAUAGUUAAUACCUGUAUGUUUUGACGUUAACUCCAGAAGAAGCACCGGCUAACUCUGUGCCAGCAGCCGCGGUAAUACAGAGGGUGCGAGCGUUAAUCGGAAUUACUGGGCGUAAAGCGCGCGUANGCGGUUUGUUAAGUCGGAUGUGAAAUCC
rnacentral:rRNA from 1 species